rnacentral:rRNA from 1 species
CCUACGGGUGGCAGCAGUGGGGAAUUUUGGACAAUGGGCGCAAGCCUGAUCCAGCUAUUCCGCGUGUGGGAAGACGGCCUUCGGGUUGUAAACCACUUUUGUAGAGAACGAAAAGUCUGUUGAUAAUACCGAUAGAUGAUGACGGUACUCUCAGAAUAAGCACCGGCUAACUACGUGCCAGCAGCCGCGGUAAUACGUAGGCUGCGAGCGUUAGUCGGAAUUACUGGGCGGAAAGGGUGUGCAGGCGGUUUUGCAAGAUGGAUGUGAAAGCCCCGGGCUUAACCUGGGAUAGCCAUACAUGACUGCAAGACUAGAGUGCGUCAGAGGGGGGUGGAAUUCCGAGUGUAGCAGUGAAAUGCGUAGAUAGUUGGAAGAACACCGAUGGCGAAGGCAGACGCCUGGGACGCAACUGACGCUCAUACACGAAAGCGUGGGGAGCAAACAGGAUUAGAUACCCUAGUAGUC